CUGUCCCUCCCAAACUGAAGAAACUGAAAAGCCCAAACGUUCAUGUUGGUGAAAAGAUUUCACUGAAAUGUGAGGCGACUGCUGGAAACCCUCAGCCAUCCUACAAAUGGUUUAAAGAUGGCAAAGAGCUGAAGAAGAGCAAAGACAUCCGGAUCAAGUAUGGGAAUGGGAAAAAGAUUUCCAGACUGCAGUUCAACAAGGUGAAGCUGGAAGAUGCUGGGGAGUACAGCUGCGAAGCAGAGAACGUUUGAGGGAAAGACACCGCAAAGGGCAGCCUGAAUGUGAAAAGUGUAACCACAACUCUCUCCUCCUGGUCCGGGCAUGCUAGAAAAUGCAACGAAACAGCCAAGUCCUAUUGUGUCAAUGGUGGGGUAUGCUACUACAUCGAGGGGAUUAAUCAGCUGUCUUGCAAGUGUCCGAUCGAAUUCACAGGAGACCGGUGUCAGCAUUUCGCAAUGGUCAGCUUCUCCAAAGCCGAAGAGCUCUACCAGAAGAGAGUGUUAACCAUCACAGGAAUCUGUGUUGCCUUGCUUGUGGUGGGCAUCGUCUGUGUCGUAGCUUAUUGUAAAACCAAGAAACAAAGAAAACAAAUGCAUAAUAAUUUACGGCAGAACAUGUGCCCUGCCCAUCAGAACAGGAGCCUUGCAAAUGGGCCAAGCCAUCCACGUUUGGAUCCUGAGGAAAUCCAAAUGGCUGAUUAUAUUUCUAAGAACGUUUCUGCCACCGAGCAUGUGAUCCGAAGGGAAACAGAGACAACCUUUUCAGGAAGUCACUCCUGCUCCCCAUCUCAUCACUGCUCCACAGCCACUCCAACGUCCAGCCAGAG